rnacentral:rRNA from 1 species
UUGAAAUCUGACGCAAGUCCGAGUUGUAAUUUGAAGAAGGUAAUUUUUGGGGAGAUGUGAACAAAAGUUCCUUGGAACAGGACGUCAUAGAGGGUGAGAAUCCCGUUUUGUUUACCUCUCUCUCCUUGUAAAAUGCUUUCGAAGAGUCGAGUUGUUUGGGAAUGCAGCUCUAAGUGGGUGGUAAAUUCCAUCUAAAGCUAAAUAUUGGCGAGAGACCGAUAGCGAACAAGUACAGUGAUGGAAAGAUGAAAAGAACUUUGAAAAGAGAGUGAAAAAGUACGUGAAAUUGUUGAAAGGGAAGGGUUUUAAGGGAGACUUGGGAGGUAACGAACAAUUUUCUUUCGGGAAGGUGCACUCGUUGCUUUCUAGGCCAAUAUGGAUUUGAAGAGUGGGAUAA